rnacentral:rRNA from 1 species
CAGCAGCCACGGGAAUACGAAGGGUGCAAGCGUUAAUCGGAAUUACUGGGCGUAAAGCGUGCGUAGGCGGUUUGUUAAGUCUGUUGUGAAAUCCCCGGGCUCAACCUGGGAAUGGCAAUGGAUACUGGCAAGCUAGAGUGUGUCAGAGGAUGGUGGAAUUCCCGGUGUAGCGGUGAAAUGCGUAGAGAUCGGGAGGAACAUCAGUGGCGAAGGCGGCCAUCUGGGACAACACUGACGCUGAGGCACGAAAGCGUGGGGAGCAAACAGGAUUAGAUACCCCGGUAGUCCCUGUCUCUUAUAC